rnacentral:rRNA from 1 species
UGGAGGACCGAACCGACUAAUGUUGAAAAAUUAGCGGAUGACCUGUGGCUGGGGGUGAAAGGCCAAUCAAACCGGGAGAUAGCUGGUUCUCCCCGAAAGCUAUUUAGGUAGCGCCUCGUGAAUUCAUCUCCGGGGGUAGAGCACUGUUUCGGCUAGGGGGCCAUCCCGGCUUACCAACCCGAUGCAAACUGCGAAUACCGGAGAAUGUUAUCACGGGAGACACACGGCGGGUGCUAACGUCCGUCGUGAAGAGGGAAACAACCCAGACCGCCAGCUAAGGUCCCAAAGUCAUGGUUAAGUGGGAAACGAUGUGGGAAGGCCCAGACAGCCAGGAUGUUGGCUUAGAAGCAGCCAUCAUUUAAAGAAAGCGUAAUAGCUCACUGGUCGAGUCGGCCUGCGCGGAAGAUGUAACGGGGCUAAACCAUGCACCGAAGCUGCGGCAGCGACACUGUGUGUUGUUGGGUAGGGGAGCGUUCUGUAAGCCUGUGAAGGUGUGUCGUGAGGCAUGCUG